UCAGCUCUGAGCUCAGCAUUAAGUUAUAAUCACCAAGGAACCCAUUCUUUCCCUGGAUAUUCUGCUUCACUUUACAGUGGGCCAGAACAACUGAACUCCGCCUCCGAUUUUACGAACGGAAUGUACAGAAGACAAGCUGGCAGAUUAUCACCUGUUGAUGCACUACUUCGAGAAUAUAAACCUCUUGUCACGUCACCAUCGUAUAGACCUUACGAAACUGGUUUGAGAUACAGAGAUCACGGACUGAAUGAUAGGAUACCAGAAUCCCACCGACCUUCACUUUUCAGAGGCAAUGCUUUCAAUCCAUAUCAAGACUAUUUAGAGGGUAAUUACUUUCUGGGACUAAUGCUUUUCUGAGGAAUGUCGUAGUGCAUACCACGGGGUUCUAGCCCUCCUGCAAUUGUUAUGUAUAUCAUCAUGCUGCGAAGAUUAUAAGAAUUAAAAUAAAUCGCUUUGUGUUUAGAA